UGUAGAAAAGAGCCCACAGCGUUUCAACUGCUCAACCAUGCUCCUGUCCCUCAUCUUAAUAUUGGAGAUGGUAUUCGUCGCAAGAGACACCAGAGCCCAGACAGUGACCCAGCCUGACAGCUACUUCACUGUGUCUGAAGGAGACUCACUGGAGCUCAGAUGCAAGUAUUCCUAUAUUGGAGUUACUUAUCUUUUCUGGUACGUGCAGUACCCCAGCCAAGGCCCCCAGCUUCUCCUCAAGUACUAUGCAGGGGACACCUUGGUUAAAGGCAUCAAAGAUUUUGAGGCUGAAAUUAAGGAGGAUGAAUCUUCUUUCAACCUGAGGAAAUCCUUGGCGCAUUUGAGGGACUCAGCUGUGUACUUCUGUGUUCUGAGUGACACAGUGCCUGAGACUGCAGGGGAAGUGGAGCAGAAACCACUUAUGGUGGCGGAGUCUUCGAAGACUUAA